rnacentral:rRNA from 1 species
UGCUGGAGGUAUCAGAAGUGCGAAUGCUGACAUAAGUAACGAUAAAGCGGGUGAAAAGCCCGCUCGCCGGAAGACCAAGGGUUCCUGUCCAACGUUAAUCGGGGCAGGGUGAGUCGACCCCUAAGGCGAGGCCGAAAGGCGUAGUCGAUGGGAAACGGGUUAAUAUUCCCGUACUUGGUGUUACUGCGAAGGGGGGACGGAGAAGGCUAUGUUGGCCGGGCGACGGUUGUCCCGGUUUAAGCGUGUAGGUGUGUGUUCCAGGUAAAUCCGGUUCACUUUAACACUGAGGCGUGAUGACGAGGCACUACGGUGCUGAAGCAACAAAUGCCCUGCUUCCAGGAAAAGCCUCUAAGCAUCAGGUAACACGAAAUCGUACCCCAAACCGACACAGGUGGUCAGGUAGAGAAUACCAAGGCGCUUGAGAGAACUCGGGUGAAGGAACUAGGCAAAAUGGUGCCGUAACUUCGGGAGAAGGCACGCUGACACGUAGGUGAAGUGAUUUACUCAUGGAGCUGAAGUCAGUCGAAGAUACCAGCUGGCUGCAACUGUUUAUUAAAAACACAGCACUGUGCAAACACGAAAGUGGACGUAUACGGUGUGACGCCUGCCCGGUGCCGGAAGGUUAAUUGAUGGGGUCAGCGCAAGCGAAGCUCCUGAUCGAAGCCCCGGUAAACGGCGGCCGUAACUAUAACGGUCCUAAGGUAGCGAAAUUCCUUGUCGGGUAAGUUCCGACCUGCACGAAUGGCGUAAUGAUGGCCAGGCUGUCUCCACCCGAGACUCAGUGAAAUUGAACUCGCUGUGAAGAUGCAGUGUACCCGCGGCAAGACGGAAAGACCCCGUGAACCUUUACUAUAGCUUGACACUGAACAUUGAGCCUUGAUGUGUAGGAUAGGUGGGAGGCUUUGAAGUGUGGACGCCAGUCUGCAUGGAGCCGACCUUGAAAUACCACCCUUUAAUGUUUGAUGUUCUAACGUGGACCCGUAAUCCGGGUUGCGGACAGUGUCUGGUGGGUAGUUUGACUGGGGCGGUCUCCUCCUAAAGAGUAACGGAGGAGCACGAAGGUUGGCUAAUCCUGGUCGGACAUCAGGAGGUUAGUGCAAUGGCAUAAGCCAGCUUGACUGCGAGCGUGACGGCGCGAGCAGGUGCGAAAGCAGGUCAUAGUGAUCCGGUGGUUCUGAAUGGAAGGGCCAUCGCUCAACGGAUAAAAGGUACUCCGGGGAUAACAGGCUGAUACCGCCCAAGAGUUCAUAUCGACGGCGGUGUUUGGCACCUCGAUGUCGGCUCAUCACAUCCUGGGGCUGAAGUAGGUCCCAAGGGUAUGGCUGUUCGCCAUUUAAAGUGGUACGCGAGCUGGGUUUAGAACGUCGUGAGACAGUUCGGUCCCUAUCUGCCGUGGGCGCUGGAGAACUGAGGGGGGCUGCUCCUAGUACGAGAGGACCGGAGUGGACGCAUCACUGGUGUUCGGGUUGUCAUGCCAAUGGCACUGCCCGGUAGCUAAAUGCGGAAGAGAUAAGUGCUGAAAGCAUCUAAGCACGAAACUUGCCCCGAGAUGAGUUCUCCCUGAGACUU